rnacentral:ncRNA from 1 species
AAUAAAAAAUUUUUUAUGGUUUAAAUUAAUUUAUUAAAAAUUUAUUUUACCUAUAAAUUUUAGUGUUUAUUUUUAAUUAUUUAAAUAAUAAUUAAUUUAUUAAAUAUAGUAAUUGAUAUUAAAAAUUUAAGAAAUUAAGAUUUAGUAAUAUUUAAAUUAAUAACCAAUUUUGUGCCAGCAGUUGCGGUUAUACAAAAAUUAAAUUAAAUUUUAUUAGUUAUUAAUAAAUUUUAUAUAAUAAUAUUAAUUAUAUUUUAAAUUAUAUUAAGUGAAAUUUUAAUUUAAUAUAAAUAUAUAUUUUACAUAUGAAAUAAUAAAAAAUAACUAAAACUAGGAUUAGAUACCCUAUUAUUAAAAAUUAAAAAAAUAAUACUAAAAUAUUAAAUAAUUAUUUAUUGAAAUUUAAAUAAUUUGGCGGUAUUUUAGUUCAUUUAGAGGAAUCUGUUUAAUAAUUGAUAAUCCACGAAUAAAUUUACUUAAUUUAAAAUUUUGUAUAUCGUUGUUAUAAAAAUAUUUUUAAAUAAUACAAUAAUAUUUAAAAAUUUAAAUAAAAAAUUAAAUUAGAUCAAGAUGCAGAUUAUAAUUAAGAAUAUAAUGGAUUACAAUAAAUUUAUUUAAAAUGAAUAUUAAUUUUAAAUAAUUAAUUGAAGGUGGAUUUAAAUGUAAUUUUAUUUAGUUUAUUAAAAUGAUUAAAAAUUAAAAUAUGUACAUAUUGCCCGUCGCUUUCAUAUAUAAAUUGAAAUAAGUCGUAACAAAGUAGAGGUACUGGAAAGUGUUUCUAGAAAUAU